AUACGGAGGAUGCGAGCGUUAUCCGGAUUUAUUGGGUUUAAAGGGUGCGUAGGUGGUUAAUUAAGUCAGCGGUGAAAGUUUGUGGCUCAACCAUAAAAUUGCCGUUGAAACUGGUUGACUUGAGUAUAUUUGAGGUAGGCGGAAUGCGUGGUGUAGCGGUGAAAUGCAUAGAUAUCACGCAGAACUCCGAUUGCGAAGGCAGCUUACUAAACUAUAACUGACACUGAAGCACGAAAGCGUGGGGAUC
rnacentral:rRNA from 1 species